rnacentral:rRNA from 1 species
UACGUAGGGGGCAAGCGUUGUCCGGAAUCAUUGGGCGUAAAGAGCGCGUAGGCGGCCAGAUAAGUCCGGUGUGAAAGUCCCAGGCUCAACCUGGGAAUGCCGCCGGAAACUGUCUGGCUAGAGUCCGGAAGGGGCCAGUGGAAUUCCCGGUGUAGAGGUGAAAUUCGUAGGAUAUUGGGAGGAACACCGGUGGCGAAGGC